AAAGUCGUAACAAGGUUUCCGUAGGUGAACCUGCGGAAGGAUCAUUAACACGUGCUACCCACGUUUAAACCAUCUAUCCUAGCGUGUUUCGUUGACGCCUUGUCUGAAAGAGGACAUCGAGUCGUUAAACCCAUCUACGUUUCCGAUGUUCCUAUUGAACAUAACUUUUUUAAUAUUCUUUUUUUACUCUUUUAAACCACUACUAUCUCAUGAUUCCAUUUUUUCUACUCGAAAGGGUAGGAGAAAUUAAAACUAUACACAACUCUUAGCAACGGAUAUCUUGGUUCUC
rnacentral:misc_RNA from 1 species